rnacentral:rRNA from 1 species
GAUGAACGCUGGCGGCGUGCCUAAUACAUGCAAGUCGAGCGAACAGACGAGGAGCUUGCUCCUCUGACGUUAGCGGCGGACGGGUGAGUAACACGUGGAUAACCUACCUAUAAGACUUGGAUAACUUCGGGAAACCGGAGCUAAUACCGGAUAAUAUAUUGAACCGCAUGGUUCAAUAGUGAAAGACGGUUUUGCUGUCACUUAUAGCUGGAUCCGCGCCGCAUUAGCUAGUUGGUAAGGUAACGGCUUACCAAGGCAACGAUGCGUAGCCGACCUGAGAGGGUGAUCGGCCACACUGGAACUGAGACACGGUCCAGACUCCUACGGGAGGCAGCAGUAGGGAAUCUUCGGCAAUGGGCGGAAGCCUGACGGAGCAACGCCGCGUGAGUGAUGAAGGUCUUCGGAUCGUAAAACUCUGUUAUUAGGGAAGAACAAAUGUGUAAGUAACUAUGCACGUCUUGACGGUACCUAAUCAGAAAGCCACGGCUAACUACGUG